AGCAGCCGCGGUAAUUCCAGCUCCAAUAGCGUAUAUUAAAGUUGUUGCAGUUAAAAGCUCGUAGUUGAAUUUCGAGACUGGUUUAUUGGUCGUGCUUUUGUACGUACUGGUAUUAUUGGUUUCUCCUUUCUGACGAAUCUUAAUGCCAUUAAUUUGGUGUUUUGGGGAAUCAGGACUGUUACUUUAAAAAAUUAGAGUGUUUAAAGCAGGCUCACGCUUGAAUACAUUAGCAUGGAAUAACGGAAUAGGACGUUUGAUUCUAUUUUGUUGGUUUCUAGGAUCGACGUAAUGAUUAAUAGGGAUAGUUGGGGGCAUUAGUAUUCAAUUGUCAGAGGUGAAAUUCUUGGAUUUAUUGAAGACUAACUACUGCGAAAGCAUUUGCCAAGGAUGUUUCAUUAAUCAAGAACGAAAGUUAGGGAUCGAAGACGAUCAGAUACCGUCGUAGUCUUAACCAUAAACUAUGCCGACUAGGGAUCGGGAUGAUGUUAAUUUUUAAUGUACUCAUUCGGCGCCUUACGGG
rnacentral:misc_RNA from 1 species